rnacentral:tRNA from 1 species
GGCUGUGUAGCAUAGUGGUUAUGGACCUGGAUUUAUAACUCAGAGGUUGCCGGUUUGAUUCCCAGCUGGGGCGG